rnacentral:rRNA from 1 species
UACGUAGGGUGCGAGCGUUGUCCGGAAUUAUUGGGCGUAAAGAGCUCGUAGGCGGUCUGUCGCGUCGGUCGUGAAAACUUGGGGCUUAACCCUGAGCUUGCGGUCGAUACGGGCAUGACUGGAGCUCGGUAGGGGAGACUGGAAUUCCUGGUGUAGCGGUGAAAUGCGCAGAUAUCAGGAGGAACACCGGUGGCGAAGGCGGGUCUCUGGGCCGAUACUGACGCUGAGGAGCGAAAGCGUGGGGAGCGAACAGG